GUGGUUCUCUCUGCGCGCCAAGAGGGCGAGUUAAGCUGAGGGAGUUGUGAGCUUAUUGAAAUAGUCUUGGUCCCGUGAGAGCAAUCUCCCCAUUAUGAUUAUCAUCUCCAGAUUCAAUGAGCAGCAUUGGAGAAACUGAACUAUGGUCUCCAAAGAACGGUAUGCGUUUACAGUACAACAGCAAGCCAGUAGGAGAGACAGUUUGGUGCCCUGAGACUUCUUGGAUCAUACAGCCUAAAAAUCUGAGCCGGGCACUGGAGUGCCUACACACAGAAGUCACUGAGACUCUGUGGAGCUAGAAGACGAAAGAUGUCUGGGUCCUGAACCACCGCACGGAGAAAAAAUGUCUUCCAUUUAGAAAAAUACAAGCAAACUUUCAGAAAAAUCGCAACAUUUUUGGAACUUGGUCUGUUCAAACUUUCUCACUGGGAUCAGUUUGGAACACCUACCAUACAUGAAAUGUGUUUUAGAAGAUGGAGGAGAAUUAGAGCUGGACCCUUCCCUCAGGGAGCCUUUGAUCAGGCAUAACAACAGACGUUACGUGAUGAGUGCACUGGGGACGAGGCAUAAGUCUUUGAGGACAGCUUCUGGGAGGAGCAGCCUUCGCACUUCCUGUUUGUGUCAUGUGAUCAUGCUACCCUCCACAUGAUCAGAAUUUUUUAAAAAGACAUCUACGCAGCGUCCUGGCACCUGAAGGCUGUGUUAGGUCAAUGAGAGGUAACCUCCACGAAGGCCACGUUACGAGUUACCAGGCCAAGCUCGCCGACGUACUGCCAGCCCAGCACCGGCGGCGUGUCUGAGGCGGGAACCCGGGGUGCCAGCUCCAGCCCCUGGAGGCCCAGGUGGGGCUCCUACGCGAGCAGGGUGCCCUCGGUGGGGAGGGGCUGGCGCGGCCAACGCCGGCCUCCCGUGAGGUGGGCGGCCCUGCCUGCUCCCAGCCACCCAUCUUCCCACUCACCUCCACAGAAGGUGGAGAGGCGGAUUUUUUUAAGAGAUGAAAAAGCCCAGUUUAUACAUGACAGCAAAAAACAAAACAAACAAAAAAACCUCCAACGAAAACCAAAGAAACAGACAAAUCUGAGAGUGACUAGGGGUGGCCUGAGUCUGCCCACACUUUCCUCUCUGUCCUUCGCCGGCCCCCAGACUUCUCUGAGGGUCUCAUGGAAGCUGGGGGACCCCUCUCCAGAAGAAGGCCCGGAAGUAUGACACCCAGAAUUCUGCCCAUAACAUCAGGGGGUUGCAGCUCCCCGAAUCUCAUCUGUCCCUUCCGAAACUCCAGAUGCAGACCUGGAAUCCUUUUGGGAAAGGAUCCCCAUUCGUGGCCUCUGAGCUUCGGCACCUCUGAAGAGGCCUUUUAAUAAAGAACCCUCCCUGUGUGACCGCAGGGAAGCUCCUGGCAUGUCAGAGCGGUUUUCCUCGUGUCGCUGCUGCAAUCCUCAAGAUUGCUUAUGUGGGUGAGAGGGAUGGGUGUCGGAAGCUUAGAAUGUUCCAGAAAUGUCACUGGCACACAGACUCGCCCAAGCGAGGCCCGUGAAGAUUUCCACAAGGACGUGACAGUCUCUGAAAGCAGCGUGGGCCAGGAUGUCACAAGACCGAGGUGGCCCUGCCAGUUCUCUGGCAGCUGGAGGAGCACAUUCUCGGACAGAAGCUCAGAAAACUCCCGGCUUGGGAGGCAGCGUGCUUUUCAGAACAUCUUAUGAGAUUCCAGAAGUGCUGAGAGAGAGUGCCUUGUCCUAAAAGAUGUCCCAGAUGUAUGGUAAAUUGUCAAAGGUUUUAUCUACCUGGGAGAGAAAAUGAGUCAGAAUCGCAGCAGAAACUCCGAAUUUUAAAAUAAAAUGUAAAGAAUGGAGCUUAGGACUCCCAGGUCUAGGAGCGCACUGUCAUCUUUCUCAGGGGCGUCUCCAAGGCCCCAGGCAAGAGCUCCCUGAAGACAAGGGUGCCCCGCACCCAAGGCUGCAGGGACCGCGUGCAGAGGGCAGGGGACAGCCCGGACGUGCGGGCGCCCGCAGGGGCUCUGAGCGCCUCCCACACUGUCACGCUGCAGGGAACGAAGGCGGCCACACAGGUCAACGUCCCAACACAGGGCCAGCACAGAAGAUGGACCCGUCUUAAAAGGGUGAGUUUUUCUUUUUCCUCAAUGAAUAGCAAGGUCCCCUCAAUUCUUGGUGACUGUUAGUUUCCUAUUCCAAGAUGGGGAUGAAAUCAAACACUCUCAAUAUGAACCAGAGUCCUCUGGUGGCACUUUGGGGUCUCUGGUUCCCAGCAGGAAGUCUUGGGUCUUUGGUCUGAGAUGCGGUAACCUCAGGGCUCUGGUCGGGCCAUCUCACCCCCUCCCCGUUACCAGCCCCACACACGUUCACGCUGACACAGGCAACAGGAAGGGAAGUUUGAGUGACCUACUUCAGGAGAAGGCCAGUCCCGGGAGGGACCCUGCACUGGAGAACUUGCUAGAGUCCACAAAAGACUGGUCUGAUUAUGGCCACCACAGGGAAUGAGCGAGGAGAAAAGAGAAACGAUGGCAUUAGUAAGCGGAAACAGGAUUCUCAAGCAGUUCCCGGGCCCGAGCAGAGCUGCCGAGCUGGACAGAGACCGGGGCUGCUCAGGCGGGUCCAGCAGAGGGGGUGCCGAGGGCAGACGGACACAGGCGGGCCCCGGGACGGAGUGUCUGGGUGUCUGGGCGGCCCGGGCGGGGUCCGGGGCUUACCUUGCAGGCUGUUCCCGUUGGUGCUGGUGCAGGUGGGAGGCGGGGAGGUCUGGGGUCUGACGACGGGCGCAAAAGCACUCUUCUGUUUCACGGCUGAGACCAUGUUGGCUGGUGAGAAGGAGAAGAUGCCGGAGGAGCUGCUGCAGUUGGAGGGGAGGCUUGUGGAGGAGGCCAUGGUGGGGCUGGAUGGCACGACUGAGAGGGGCAACGGGAAAGCAGAAGUGAGCGCCUCCCCUGGUGUCCUGAGACGAGGCCCCCCUUCUACCGCGAGCCCUCCCUGAACUCUGGGGGCCCCGUCUGCUGUAAUCGUUAGGAAUCUUCACCUUUUUCUCACCUACGUCACUGGCCAAGCCAGCUUAAGUUGGGGCCUAAUCCAGCCUUUCUACACCCGAGCAAGCCAAGCAAGCUGACUCAGAAGAUAGUUCAGUGACUUGCCCCGGGGCCAUAGCUGGAAGGCGGCAAGGCCGGGAACCAAACCCAGCUUCCCUGCAAAGCAAACAGAUCGCCACGGGAGAGGCCCCUCCCCGUGAGCACUCCAGAGGCCAAACUGCCCAUUAGGUGGCCUUCGCCUCGGCCUCCUGGCUUUGGAAAGUUAGGGAAGUGGGAAUCCAAUCGGUCACAGGCAGCAGUCGCCAUUGGGGCAUCAGGGGGAAGUGACCCCUGGUAACCAGCCCUCUGCGCUGCACAAUCCAAACACACUGAAUGCUUUAUGGAGCAGAAAACGCCGCGCCGCCACCCUCAGAAUUUUCACAAACAUUUUCUAAACUGUACUUUUAAAUGAGACCAGCAUUUUUAUACAUCUCAUAGGAUUUGUAAAUGUGAAAAUGCGCUCAAUAAUCACACCCAUUUAAAUUGCAAAACUCCUGCACUGGAGGUUUGAUUUUUAAAUAUUCGUAGACUUGAAAUCCUGCUGGUUCACUGAGGAAGGCAAUUAAUCUCAUUGGCAAAUGCGAUCAUUAUGUGUAUUUAGAGGUGGGGGACUGAAGGGGGGUGGUUAACAGAGGAAGGGGCGAAAUACAGUCAAGCAGUUCCAUUUGUUACAUUAUCAGUUAUCAGCCACCACACCAGAAAGUGUGUUCACCAGUGCAAUGUCUUAUUUUACUUUUGAUUCUGGUCGGAAUUUUUCAACAUGAGUGGUUGAUGAAUAAUUUAAAGAUUAUGGAGGUAAAAAUUCACAUCAGCUGGGCUUUGUGUUUAUUGUUUUAUUUGCAUUUAUGCAGAUAAAACCACCCCAUCUGAGAGCCUGUUUGAGAAUUUAAUACUAUAUUAGAGGGCACUGAGGAAAUCAAUUAAUGGAAAGGAAACGCUGGGAGUUUUGCAGCCUGACAGAUGCACUCUCAGGCUGAAGUCGCUGGGUGUCUGCACCAGCUUGGAAGACAGGGCAAGCCAAGCCCCGAAAUUGAAUUGCUACCCUGUAGCAAUUAGGUUAUUGAUUUAAUUAAGAAUGCCACCUUUUAAUUUGCAGGUCAUAAUUGAAACAUUUUCUGAUUGAGGAGAGGAGAGAACACUGAAAUGAUGGAUCUGUGAGAAACAAUCUUUUGAUAAAUCAAAGUUGACUCUUGGGCAGACAGACAUAAUGCAUGCAGCUUGCUGGGGGAGGGGGCGGGAAUCCUCGUAGUUCAGUGGACCCCUGAAAUAGGCACUGGAGGUUUUCAUUUAUCAGCCUAGCUGCUCUGGUCACAACUUGAGUUACUUUUCCCUCAGAAAUAGUAUCAUAACCAUAACCAGUGGGAUGGUAGGUUUCCAUAUAAAAGGUGGUCCGUCUGCAACUCACACAGAUCUGGUAAGUCAUUGGUUUUCCACCACUGCCACAUAGAUGCCUCAGCAUUCUGAUUUAGCUUGACUGGAAAGUGAGUGAAGCUUUGAAAGCUCCCCAUGUGCUUCUGACCAAAUUGAAGUUUCCUAGCCCCUGACCUCAGCCAAGCCAAGAUUUGCCUAAAAGCAGCUGCUUUAAUUGACCAAAGCACCACGAACUUCACAAGCCUUCCCACCAGUUUUUUCUAAAUUGUUUCCUUUCAGUUAUAACCUUUCAGUUAUAACUGUAUUAUAUUUUUUGCUCAAACCUAGAACACAUAGUUUAGAACACAUACAGUUCUCCCAGGUUAACUUAGUGGGAAUCUGCUAUUCCCUAGGAAGGACACGUGCUAACCUUCUGUCAGUGACCGCAUAGAUUACUUGGUUUUUAUGAUGUUUCGAAGGUUGCUCCCCAAACAAAAGCCACGGUCUCCACGCUUAGAGGGUGGGAGCAAAAUAUGAUCUAAAAGCUUGUCUGGGUUGGGAAGUGAUUAAUGUGGAUUCUUAUGACGAAGGAAAUGAAAAUGAGAAAUCUGGGUAAGUAACCACUGUUUUAACAAAAAAAGUGCUUGAAAUGGAGAGAACAAACUGAGAAUGCCAACAACAAAUAACUUAUUCUCAGAGGUUUAAAUAAAGUUCUGUUAGGGGUUUUGACUCAUGACACCUGCACGUUAUCACCGAGAGGAAGAAAGGGCUACUUUCUGGCCCAGGCAAUGAAGGUUUGACACAGGUGGGCGCCUCUUCCCCCCAGAAAAAAAAAAAAACCUUUCUCUUUUACCCCCGGAAAACCUUUACGCAAACCCUUAUUAAGACAUUUACAAACAACAUUUCCUGUAUAUCUGUGUUCUGUCUUGCUAAAUGCUUGAAAAAAAUAAAUUUUUUGACUUGUUCACUUUUGUUUUUUUUUUCCUUUGUACAUAUCAAACACAAAGGAGAAAAAAAUUCCACGCGUUAAAAAUAAUAAAGGAGGCAAAUUUCUAGAGGGAGAGACUUUCACUGGUAGCCUGGUGUCACUAUGCUGUACUCCCAGCACCACUGAGAGAGUUACCAUUCCAUC